rnacentral:rRNA from 1 species
UACAGAGGGCGCGAGCGUUGUCCGGAAUCACUGGGCGUAAAGGGCGCGUAGGUGGCCACUAUAAGGCCGCGGUGAAAGUUCGGGGCUCAACCCUGAAUCUGCCGCGGCGACUGUAGGGCUUGGGCAUCGUAGAGGCAGAUGGAAUUCCGGGUGUAGCGGUGGAAUGCGUAGAGAUCCGGAAGAACACCGGUGGCGAAGGCGGUCUGCUGGGCGAUGGGAGCGGUAAGCUCCUCUUAGCCGACACUGAGGCGCGACAGCGUGGGGAGCAACAGG